GAUGAAGAACGUAGUGAAAUGCGAUAAGUAAUGUGAAUUGCAGAAUUCCGUGAAUCAUCGAAUCUUUGAACGCACAUUGCGCCCUCUGGUAUUCCGGGGGGCAUGCCUGUCCGAGCGUCAUUACAACCCUCAAGCUCAGCUUGGUGUUGGGCCCCGCCGCCCCGGCGGGCCCUAAAGUCAGUGGCGGUGCCGUCCGGCUCCGAGCGUAGUAAUUCUUCUCGCUCUGGAGGUCCGGUCGCGUGCUCGCCAGCAACCCCCAAUUUUUUCAGGUUGACCUCGGAUCAGGUAGGGAUACCCGCUGAACUUAAGCAUAUCAAUAAGCGGAGGA
rnacentral:misc_RNA from 1 species